UCUACGGGUGGCUGCAGUGGGGAAUAUUGGACAAUGGGCGAAAGCCUGAUCCAGCCAUGCCGCGUGUGUGAAGAAGGCCUUCGGGUUGUAAAGCACUUUCAGUGGGGAAGAAAGCCUUGGGGCUAAUACCCUCGAGGAAGGACAUCACCCACAGAAGAAGCACCGGCUAACUCCGUGCCAGCAGCCGCGGUAAUACGGAGGGUGCGAGCGUUAAUCGGAAUUACUGGGCGUAAAGCGCGCGUAGGCGGUCUGAUAAGCCGGUUGUGAAAGCCCCGGGCUCAACCUGGGAACGGCAUCCGGAACUGUCAGGCUAGAGUGCAGGAGAGGAAGGUAGAAUUCCCGGUGUAGCGGUGAAAUGCGUAGAGAUCGGGAGGAAUACCAGUGGCGAAGGCGGCCUUCUGGACUGACACUGACGCUGAGGUGCGAAAGCGUGGGUAGCAAACAGGAUUAGAUACCCGGGUAGUC
rnacentral:rRNA from 1 species